UACAGAGGUCUCAAGCGUUGUUCGGAUUCAUUGGGCGUAAAGGGUGCGUAGGUGGCGGGGUAAGUCAGGUGUGAAAUCUCGAGGCUCAACCUCGAAACUGCACUUGAUACUGCCUUGCUCGAGUACUGGAGAGGAGAUUGGAAUUUACGGUGUAGCAGUGAAAUGUGUAGAUAUCGUAAGGAAGACCAGUGGCGAAGGCGAAUCUCUGGACAGUUACUGACACUGAGGCACGAAGGCCAGGGGAGCAAACGGG
rnacentral:rRNA from 1 species